AGUUUGAUCCUGGCUCAGGAUGAACGCUGGCGGCGUGCCUAACACAUGCAAGUCGAACGAAGCACUGCAGACGGAGAUUCGUCGAAGCCUGCUGUGACUUAGUGGCGGACGGGUGAGUAAUGCGUGAGCAACCUGCCUUUCAGAGGGGGACAACAGUUGGAAACGACUGCUAAUACCGCAUGAUGUAUUUUGGGGGCAUCCCUAAGAUACCAAAGGAGCAAUCCGCUGAAAGAUGGGCUCACGUCUGAUUAGCUAGUUGGUGAGGUAACGGCUCACCAAGGCUGCGAUCAGUAGCCGGACUGAGAGGUUGAACGGCCACAUUGGGACUGAGAUACGGCCCAGACUCCUACGGGAGGCAGCAGUGGGGAAUAUUGGGCAAUGGGCGAAAGCCUGACCCAGCAACGCCGCGUGAAGGAAGAAGGUCUUCGGAUUGUAAACUUCUUUUAUGAGGGACGAAGGACGUGACGGUACCUCAUGAAUAAGCCACGGCUAACUACGUGCCAGCAGCCGCGGUAAUACGUAGGUGGCAAGCGUUAUCCGGAUUUACUGGGUGUAAAGGGCGCGUAGGCGGGGAUGCAAGUCAGAUGUGAAAUCUAUGGGCUUAACUCAUAAACUGCAUUUGAAACUGUAUCUCUUGAGUGCUGGAGAGGUAGAUGGAAUUCCUUGUGUAGCGGUGAAAUGCGUAGA
rnacentral:rRNA from 1 species